rnacentral:rRNA from 1 species
AAUGAACGUUGGCGGCGUGGAUUAGGCAUGCAAGUCGAACGAGAACCCCGCAAGGGGUGAAAGUGGCAAACGGCGUAGUAAGGCGUAGGUGACGUACCUCCCGAUUCGGGAUAGCUACGGGAAACUGUAGGUAAUACCGGAUAAUCCCUCCGAGAUUGAAAAUCGGAGUGCAAAGGUGUGAUUCCGUCAGGAGAGCGGCUUACGUGGUAUUAGCUAGUUGGUGAGGUAACGGCUCACCAAGGCUUCGAUGCCUAGGGGGUGUUAGCGCAUGACCCCCACGACUGGGACUGAGAUACUGCCCAGACACCUACGGGUGGCUGCAGUCGAGAAUCUUCGGCAAUGGACGCAAGCCUGACCGAGCGACGCCGCGUGUGGGAUGAAGGCCCUUGGGUUGUAAACCACUGUCAGAGGGGAUGAAAUGCGGGUGGGUUCUCCCAUCCGUUUGACAUAGCCUCAGAGGAAGCACGGGCUAAGUUCGUG